rnacentral:lncRNA from 1 species
AGACGAGCUAUGUCUGGAGGGUAUGUGGGGCAGACCUUAUUCCCACGCUGCAUGUAGAAGCUGCUUUUUAUACACCAGAUUCAUCCUUAAAAGUAUAUGGGAUUGUACAUUUGGUCGUCAGAGCUUCUCUCUUCUGGUGUACUGGGACCUGAAUUCUUCAAAUCAGGUAGGUUGUGCGUAUGAAACCGGGUGGUGUAACUUUGUGAAAUGUUUAAGAUAUUGGCCGGAAACAUGGUAUAUUCUCAUAAGUUUGAUGUGGAUCAUUGGAGAAUUCUAGAAUGGAGGUCUGAAUUGCAACUUAUUGUGUAUUUAUUUCCUAAAUUAAAAUGGGAAAGAACAUGU